rnacentral:rRNA from 1 species
AUUGAACGCUGGCGGCAUGCCUAACACAUGCAAGUCGCGCGGGCUGUAGCAAUACAGCUAGCGGCGGACGGGUGAGGAAUACAUAGGAAUUUGCCUCAGAGCGGGGAUGAGCCCAGGGAAACUUGGAGUAAUACCGCAUGAUGUCGAAAGACCAAAGCAGGGGACCGCAAGGCCUUGCACUCUGAGAGAAGCCUAUGUCUGAUUAGCUAGUUGGUGAGGUAAUGGCUCACCAAGGCGACGAUCAGUAACUGGUCUGAGAGGACGAUCAGUCACACCGGAAACUGAGACACGGUCCGGACUCCUACGGGAGGCAGCAGUGGGGAAUAUUGGACAAUGGGCGCAAGCCUGAUCCAGCAAUGCCGCGUGUGUGAAGAAGGCCUCGGGUUGUAAAGCACUUUAGGCAGGGAAGAAAAUGUUCAAGCUAAUAUCUUGAGCCUUGACGGUACCUGAAGAAUAAGCACCGGCUAACUCUGUGCCAGCAGCCGCGGUAAUACAGAGGGUGCAAGCGUUAAUCGGAUUUACUGGGCGUAAAGCGUGUGUAGGUUGUUUGACAAGUCGGUUGUGAAAUCCCCGGGCUCAACCUGGGAACUGCUUCCGAGACUGUCCGACUAGAGUACGGUAGAGGGCGGUGGAAUUUCCCGGUGUAGCGGUGAAAUGCGUAGAUAUCGGAAGGAACACCAAUGGCGAAGGCAGCCNCCUGGGGCCUGUACUGACACUGAGACACG